UUUUUUCUUCAUAUUAUAGUA
rnacentral:piRNA from 1 species